AGCAGCUAUAAAGAAUCCUUUCUCAAGAUUCCCCAAAUCUGCUGAGGUUUGGCAUGCCAGGAAGGACCUUUCUUACUACCUGAAAGUCUGCAAUGCCAUACCACAGAACAGGAAAUUACUCAAACCCAGAGAAGGCGUGGGUCGCGAGAACUUCCAAUCUGUAGCCAGUCUGUCAGAAGCACAGCUAGUUCCCCCAACAUGAAUUUGAACCUGGGCUCCAGGCAGUGAGAGCGUGGAAUCCUAACCAUUGGACCACCAUUGGACCACCCCAGUUAAA